rnacentral:rRNA from 1 species
UUGGAUUAGAUACCCUAGUAGUCCACACCGUAAACGUUGGGCGCUAGGUGUGGGGUCCAUUCCACGGAUUCCGUGCCGCAGCUAACGCAUUAAGCGCCCCGCCUGGGGAGUACGGCCGCAAGGCUAAAACUCAAAGGAAUUGACGGGGGCCCGCACAAGCGGCGGAGCAUGCGGAUUAAUUCGAUGCAACGCGAAGAACCUUACCUGGGUUUGACAUACACCGGAAACACCUAGAGAUAGGUGCCCUUUUAGUCGGUGUACAGGUGGUGCAUGGCCGUCGACAACU